GCCCCGGCAGCUGACCCGGUGAUAGCGCCACGCUGAAAACGUGGAGAGAGACGUUCGACUCGUCUCCGGGGCACCA
rnacentral:tRNA from 1 species